UGAAUUGCAGAAUCCCGUGAACCAUCGAGUCUUUGAACGCAAGUUGCGCCCGAAGCCAUUUGGACGAGGGCACGUUUGCCUGGGUGUCACACACGGCGUUGCCCCUAAUCCCUCGCCUUGAAUUGGGCGGGCAGGACUCGGGUGCGUAUGUUGGCCUCCCGCGACGACUUCGUCCCGGUUGGCCCAAAAUCGAGCGCUGGAGCGAUUAGCACCACGACAUUCGGUGGUUGAUGAGACCCCAAUGAUCAAUGUCAUGCGCGUCGCUCGUGCAAGUGCUCCAUGAAUCUACCAUUUACCAACGCGACCCCAG
rnacentral:rRNA from 1 species